UUAGACAUCCAACUACAAUUAGAUGUCCGCCAGGGUACUACAAGCAUUAGCUUAAAACCCAAAGGACUUGACGGUGUCUCAGACCCCCUAGAGGAGCCUGUUCUAUAACCGAUAACCCCCGUUAAACCUCAUCACUCUUAGCCAUACCAGCCUAUAUACCGCCGUCGCCAGCUUACCCUGUGAAGGUAACAAAAGUAAGCAAAAUGGGCACAACCCAGAACGUCAGGUCGAGGUGUAGCGCAUGGAGUGGAAAGAAAUGGGCUACAUUUUCUAUCACAGAAUAUUACGAAUAUGCACCAUGAAAUAAUGCUUGAAGGAGGAUUUAGUAGUAAAAGGGAAAUAGAGCGUCCCUUUGAACCCGGCUCUGAGACGC
rnacentral:rRNA from 1 species